CCUACGGGUGGCUGCAGUGGGGAAUAUUGGACAAUGGGCGAAAGCCUGAUCCAGCCAUGCCGCGUGUGUGAAGAAGGCCUUCGGGUUGUAAAGCACUUUCAGUGGGGAAGAAAGCCUUGGGGCUAAUACCCUCGAGGAAGGACAUCACCCACAGAAGAAGCACCGGCUAACUCCGUGCAAGCAGCCGCGGUAAUACGGAGGGUGCGAGCGUUAAUCGGAAUUACUGGGCGUAAAGCGCACGUAGGCGGUCUGAUAAGCCGGUUGUGAAAGCCCCGGGCUCAACCUGGGAACGGCAUCCGGAACUGUCAGGCUAGAGUGCAGGAGAGGAAGGUAGAAUUCCCGGUGUAGCGGUGAAAUGCGUAGAGAUCUGGAGGAAUACCAGUGGCGAAGGCGGCCUUCUGGACUGACACUGACGCUGAGGUGCGAAAGCGUGGGUAGCAAACAGGAUUAGAUACCCCUGUAGUC
rnacentral:rRNA from 1 species